rnacentral:tRNA from 1 species
UCCAGGGUAGCCGAGUGGACAAGGCUCCUGCCCGGUAAGCAGAAGGUUGUGGGUUCGAUUCCCGCCCCUGGAC